CAGCCGCCACGGUAAUACGUAGGGUGCAAGCGUUAAUCGGAAUUACUGGGCGUAAAGCGUGCGCAGGCGGUUAUAUAAGUCAGAUGUGAAAUCCCCGGGCUCAACCUGGGAACUGCAUUUGAGACUGUAUGGCUAGAGUGUGUCAGAGGGGGGUAGAACUCCACGUGUAGCAGUGAAAUGCGUAGAUAUGUGGAGGAAUACCGAUGGCGAAGGCAGCCCCCUGGGAUAACACUGACGCUCAUGCACGAAAGCGUGGGGAGCAAACAGGAUUAGAUACCCGUGUAGUCCCUGUCUCUUAUAC
rnacentral:rRNA from 1 species